CGCGUAGGCGGUCUUUUAAGUUCCGUGUGAAAUCCCUCGGCUCAACUGGGGAACUGCACGGGUAACUGGAAGGCUUGAGUUCGGGAGAGGGAAGCGGAAUUCCGGGUGUAGCGGUGAAAUGCGUAGAUAUCCGGAGGAACACCGGUGGCGAAGGCGGCUUCCUGGACCGACACUGACGCUGAGGCGCGAAAGCUAGGGGAGCAAACG
rnacentral:rRNA from 1 species